AGAGAAGUAAAAUUGAAAUAUACAGUCUAAAAACAUGUAGGGAGCUCUCCUUAAGUGUCAUAAUUAACUUUUGGCAAAGAGGAUGUUUCAGGCAUGUUGACUCUGGCUGUGACUGGCACACCAUCUCUCUUAGAAAGUGUGUUCAUCUGUUCAGAUGGAGAACUUGUUCUUGCUUUGAGCAAACAUCAAAUCAAAACUGCCAAUAUGUUCUUUCUUUUUUAGCAGAAUUAUUACAGUUUAAUAUGGACAGAGAGACACAUUGCUAUUGAACAUGCCCAUGAAAACUUCCUGGACGUUGAGCUAACAGUCUUCUCUCUUCUUCAGACAAAAUCAACAGGACUCCUCCUGAGAAUUAUUCCACAGGUGUCAUUCUUAACCCACUUCAAGAAAUAUGCCUCUUGGCAUUUCUUCCUGGAUUUCUUCAAGAAUUUGAGACCUCACCAAUUGUGAGUAAGAGUUCUGACUUUCCUUACACUCUCAGCAGUGUUAGUUGUUGACUGGAUUCUUGAUCUCAGCCAUUCUGAUUCAGAACUUGAAGAUAAGAACUUAUUAUUGAAGACACUUUACACUUUGACACAGAACUUGGGUAAAUUUGAAAUGGAAUGGACCUGGAAGGCUGUUUUCUGAGGACUGUAUCCAUAGUAUUGAAAGCUC
rnacentral:lncRNA from 1 species